GCGCGCAAAUUACCCAAUCCUGACACGGGGAGGUAGUGACAAUAAAUAACAAUACCGGGCGCGUUAGUGUCUGGUAAUUGGAAUGAGUACAAUCUAAAUCCCUUAACGAGGAUCCAAAAUUGGAGGGCAAGUCUGGUGCUAG
rnacentral:rRNA from 1 species